rnacentral:lncRNA from 13 species
AUGGAUGAGACAAAUUAUAACAGCUGGGAGUUUCUUCCCUGUGGUGCAGUGCGAGAGAGGGCUGUGGUGCAGUGCGAGAGAGGGCUGCAGCCAUUAUAUGUGAAACCACGAGGAGUUGGAGAUGCUACAGCAAUGCCUUUAGUGAACCUUUAGGUAAGAUGAAAGGUCUUGUGGAAAUUUCCAAAAACAGUAGGCAUGACACAAUGUCUCAGACAAUGUUUGCCUCAUCCAUAAAAAUUUUGAGUGCCUUCAACUGUGUGUAAGCUCCUUCUAGAUGUGUAACUGCUAUCACCUUUGGCUUGAGUGGGUAAAAUGUACAUAGGCAAGUUGAGAUGAGCAACUAUUCAGAAAAUAUAGCCCAAAAAUACUCUUGGAAGUGAGAGAAGUGGAAAUGUUUUGUUGCAGUUAUUUAUAAUUAUUCUGGUUGGCAUUGCAAAAGCUUAUCUUGGGGCUUUGUUUUUAUGGGAGUGAAGUAGCUACAGGUGAUAGCUUACAUAUGGCAGAGCCAAGUGCCAUUAGAAGUUGGCUAUUGAGAACAGAGGGGAACCAGGAGGCUAAAAGACCCCAAAUGAAUGUGUGACCUCCUUCUGGAUCUGAAGAGAAAAGUAUCAUUGAUCUUUUUUAUUCCUGAAUCUUGAGUGCUUUGAGGGCAUUUUAUAGUGAAAUGCUUAUGAAAAGAACAUAUUCAUCUGUAGGGUGUCUCUAUUGCCACCUACUGUGGUGUUGAAGUCUAUCUUAGUGGUUGAUUUCUCACUUUCUCUAUGAGGAACAUGCCAUUGCACAGCUGCGGGGAGUGCAGGAGCAUUCAGUGAAGUUUUCCUUACAUUAAUUUGUUCUGUCUUCAGACUAUAUUUAUGCUUUCUCUGUUUGUUUUCCCACCAACUGGGGUUUGAGUUCUAAACAAAAGGCAUAAAACCUCAUAUGACAUGGAUUCCACAUUUCUGUAUUAUGAUCAAAUUUACUUAAUAUUUGCCCAAGAAAGUACUAUUUAAACUUAAUAAGUUGGCCUAUUUACAUACAUUUCUGCUUGCUCCACUAACUUGCUUUCAUAGCCAGCUGUAUUCUAUCACCCUUUCCUGUCUCAGGCCCUUUACGUACCUGAUUCCUUCUAUCUGGAAUGCUCUUUUCUUCUUUUUGCCUGGUUAAUUCACCU